UGAAGUAUUCCUAGAUACUAAACCUUCUAAACUAAACUUCUGAGCCCAGACGACCAUCAUCAUGUAUCUGGAGAUCAGAUGUCUCCGUAGACCAAAAAUCUGCUGUAGCAGUCACUCUGGAAUAGUGAUGAACAGACACCUGCCCAUCACAAUCAGUCACAAUCAGUCACAAUCAGUUGCAGUCAGUCACUUCCAUAUUAUUGGACCUUCUCGCAGUCACUCUCAACACCUCAGCCAAUCACCUCUCACACCUGGAAUCCACCCCUGUUCCUUUGUUUGAAGCCCAUCAGCUUCAUUCAGUCACAGACAGUCACUGAACAGCAGGAUCACCCCACAGCACUCAUCUCUGGAAACCAUUCACUUUUUACAAGCCUGGAAACCUGGAAAUCACAGCAUCAAAGAGGACGCCUGCAACUGCCUUUGGAUUUCUGGAUGUCACCCACCUGAACCCACAUUGUGCUGAACAUUGAAUAUUGGUUAGGCUUGAACUGAUGGCGAGCUACCCUGGACCAAACUGGACAACCGUCUGACAUGUUUCACCCCUUCACCCACCCCACUCAUUGGCAGGUCUAAAGCCCCACAGCUUCAUCCCUUCCAGAAUGGUGUGGUAGGACUUUGUUGGACUUUGUUGGAUUUGUUGGAUUUGUUGGACUUUGUAAGAAUUUGUUGGAACUGUUUAUUGAAUCAGCUUAUUGUUCACUUCAACCAGGAAUUGUCAGUGGAGUAUUGAUAAUUGAACUAAGCACAUAGUCACUUUAUAUUGUUGACAGUGAAGCUGCUUAUUCUUAAUUGGAUUGAUUG